rnacentral:misc_RNA from 1 species
GCGUCCGUUUCAAUCUGUCGGGACUCUCGAUGCGUCGAAGAGCUCCGGCGAUACGUGAGGCGUCGUCCCGUGGAGGGGCGUCCCUUGAAGUGCGAACCCCCCCCCCCCCCCCCCCCC